UGAGGAACAUGACCUUCGGCGGGGGAUAGCCGGCCCAACGGCCGGGUAAUACCGCGUACGACCUUCCGGGGACAUCCCUGGAUGGUGAAAGCAGCAAUGCGCCGAUGGAGUGCCUCGCGGCCUAUCAGCUAGUUGGUGAGGUAACGGCUCACCAAGGCGACGACGGGUGGCUGGUCUGAGAGGAUGGCCAGCCACAUUGGGACUGAGACACGGCCAGACUCCUACGGGAGCAG
rnacentral:rRNA from 1 species